rnacentral:ncRNA from 1 species
UUAAAAGUUUUGUCCCAGCUUUAAAAUCAACUAUGACCUAUAUUACACAUGCAAGCAUCCGCAAACCAGUGAGAAAGCCAAUAAAUUGAGCUGAUAUCAGGCACAACAAAAGUUAGCCAAUAACAUCUAGCUAGGCCACACCCCCAAGGGCAAACAGCAGUGAUAAACAUUAGUAAAUGAGCACACAAGCUCGAACUAGACACGGCCAAAAAGAGUCGGCCAAUCUCGUGCCAGCCGCGGCGGUUAUACGAGAGACCCGAGUUGACAACAAUCGGCGUAAAGUGUGACAAAGAAUGAGCCUAUAACAUAAGACUGAAACCCGACCUAACCGUCAUACGUACAAGUCAAUGGUAAACCCAAUUACACAAAAGUAGUCUUAACUAAAAGACCUUUCACCCUCACAACCGCUAAGACACAAACUGGGAUUAGAUACCCCACUAUGCCUAGCUACAAACUGAAGACUUACAACCAACUCUCCGCCAGAACACUACGAGUAAACACUUAAAAGUCAAAGGACUUGGCGGUGCCCAAAAUCCACCCAGAGGAGCCUGUUCUAUAAUCGAUAACCCACGCUAAACCUCACCACUCUUUGCCAAAACAGCCUAUAUACCACCGUCUGCAGCUCACCCCAUUGAAGGAAAAUAAGUGAGCAGAAUGAACUUACUAAAAACGUCAGGUCAAGGUGUAGCACAUAGAGUGGAAAGAAAUGGGCUACAUUUUCUUACUAAGAACAAACGAAAAAGCAAAUGAAAAAUUCUUGGAAGGCGGAUUUGGCAGUAAAAAGAAAUAAUUAAAUUCUUUUUAACACAGCCCUUGGGCGCGCACACACCGCCCGUCACCCUCAUCAACUUAACUCACUCCAACUUAAUAAACACAUAAACAUACAACUAGAAGAGGAAAGUCGUAACACGGUAAGCGUACUGGAAAGUGCUCUUGGAAU